GACGAACGCUGGCGGCGGGCUUAACACAUGCAAGUCGAACGGAAAGGCGCUGCAGGUAGGGGACUCGAGUGGCGAAGGGGGGAGGAACAGGUGGGUGAGGUGCCCUGCACGUUGGGGGAAGCUAGGGAAACUGGGUCUAAUAUCGUAUAGGAUCCAGUCGCAGUGCGAAGGUGGGAGAGUUUCUUGGGUGUAGGAUGAGGUCGCGGCCUAUCAGCUUGUGGGUGGGGGGAUGGCCUACCAAGGCGGCGACGGGUAGCCGGCCUGAGAGAGUGGACGGCCACCCUGGGACUGAGAGGCGGCCCAGACUCCUACGGGAGGAAGCAGUGGGGAAUAUUGCACAAUGGGCGCAAGCCGGAUGCAGCGGCGCCGCGUGGGGGAUGACGGCCUUCGCGUUGUAAACUCCUUUCGCUAGGGACGAAGCUUUUUGUGACGGUACCUAGAGAAGAAGCACCGGCUAACUCCGUG
rnacentral:rRNA from 1 species